GGUCUGCUCAGAUUAUUUAUGCUUGUUUGGUGUUGGCUGACGGCUAGCUCACUUUUGAUCUACUCAUCUCUAUUACCGUGAUUCUGAUUUUUUUGAGUUUUGCUGUGUAGGUGCAGUGGAGCACUGGAGCUGAAUCGUGGAGUUGCAACUCUGAAUCAUGGACUGCAUCAAGGGCUCUCAGUCAGCAACAAGCGGCAAUCUGAUAGGCCAUGAGGGGCUCAAGAAAUAUUUUGCUCUCAGUCAGCAACAAGCAGCAAUCCAGCAAGGCAUCAAGGGC